CCUACGGGUGACAGCAGUGAGGAAUAUUGGUCAAUGGGCGCGAGCCUGAACCAGCCAAGUAGCGUGAAGGAUGACUGCCCUACGGGUUGUAAACUUCUUUUAUAAAGGAAUAAAGUGAGGCACGUGUGCCUUUUUGUAUGUACUUUAUGAAUAAGGAUCGGCUAACUCCGUGCCAGCAGCCGCGGUAAUACGGAGGGCCAGAGGGUUAUCCGGAUUUAUUGGGUUUAAAGGGAGCGUAGAUGGGUUGUUAAGUCAGUUGUGAAAGUUUGCGGCUCAACCGUAAAAUUGCAAUUGAUAAUGGCAGCCUUGAGUACAGGUGAGGUAGGCGGAAUUCGUGGUGUAGCGGUGAAAUGCUUAGAUAUCACGAAGAACUCCGAUUGCGAAGGCAGCUUACUAAACUGCCACUGACAUUGAUGCUCGAAAGUGUGGGUAUCAAACAGGAUUAGAUACCCCAGUAGUC
rnacentral:rRNA from 1 species